UACGUAGGGGGCUAGCGUUGUCCGGAAUCAUUGGGCGUAAAGAGCGUGUAGGCGGCUCGGUAAGUCCGCUGUGAAAGUCGGGGGCUCAACCCUCGAAUGCCGGUGGAUACUGUCGAGCUAGAGUGCGGAAGAGGCGAGUGGAAUUCCUGGUGUAGCGGUGAAAUGCGCAGAUAUCAGGAGGAACACCGAUUGCGAAGGCAGCUCGCUGGGACGUUACUGACGCUGAGAACGCGAAAGCGUGGGGGAGCAAACAGG
rnacentral:rRNA from 1 species